rnacentral:rRNA from 1 species
ACGCUAGCGAUAGGCUUAACACAUGCAAGUCGAGGGGCAGCAUGGUCUUAGCUUGCUAAGACUGAUGGCGACCGGCGCACGGGUGCGUAACGCGUAUGCAACUUGCCUCACAGAGGGGGAUAACCCGUCGAAAGACGGACUAAUACCGCGUACACUCCACUUUGGGCAUCCAAAGUAGAGGAAAUGAAAUUCGCUGUGAGAUAGGCAUGCGUCCCAUUAGCUAGUUGGUGAGGUAACGGCUCACCAAGGCGACGAUGGGUAGGGGAACUGAGAGGUUGAACCCCCACACUGGUACUGAGACACGGACCAGACUCCUACGGGAGGCAGCAGUGAGGAAUACUGGUCAAUGGGCGAGAGCCUGAACCAGCCAAGUCGCGUGAAGGAUGACUGUCUUAUGGAUUGUAAACUUCUUUUAUACGGGAAUAACAAGAGUCACGUGUGGCUCCCUGCAUGUACCGUAUGAAUAAGCAUCGGCUAACUCCGUGCCAGCAGCCGCGGUAAUACGGAGGAUGCGAGCGUUAUCCGGAUUUAUUGGGUUUAAAGGGUGCGUAGGCGGCCUGUUAAGUCAGCGGUGAAAUCUAGGAGCUUAACUCCUAAAUUGCCAUUGAUACUGGCGGGCUUGAGUGUAGAUGAGGUAGGCGGAGUGCGUGGUGUAGCGGUGGAAUGCAUAGAUAUCACGCAGAACUCCGAUUGCGAAGGCAGCUUACUAAGGUACAACUGACGCUGAAGCACGAAAGCGUGGGUAUCAAACAGGAUUAGAUACCCUGGUAGUCCACGCAGUAAACGAUGAUAACUGGGCGUAUGCGAUAUACAGUAUGCUCCUAAGCGAAAGCGUUAAGUUAUCCACCUGGGGAGUACGCCGGCAACGGUGAAACUCAAAGGAAUUGACGGGGGCCCGCACAAGCGG